GUAGGUGGGGUAACGGCUCACCUAGGCGACGAUCCCUAGCUGGUCUGAGAGGAUGACCAGCCACACUGGAACUGAGACACGGUCCAGACUCCUACGGGAGGCAGCAGUGGGGAAUAUUGCACAAUGGGCGCAAGCCUGAUGCAGCCAUGCCGCGUGUGUGAAGAAGGCCUUCGGGUUGUAAAGCACUUUCAGCGGGGAGGAAGGCGGUGAGGUUAAUAACCUCA
rnacentral:rRNA from 1 species